rnacentral:rRNA from 1 species
GUGAGGAAUUUUCCGCAAUGGGCGAAAGCCUGACGGAGCAAUGCCGCGUGAAGGAUGAAGGCCUAUGGGUUGUAUACUUCUUUUCUCAGAAAAGAAUUAUGACGGUAUCUGAGGAAUAAGCAUCGGCUAACUCUGUGCCAGCAGCCGCGGUAAGACAGAGGAUGCAAGCGUUAUCCGGAAUGAUUGGGCGUAAAGCGUCUGUAGGUUGUUUAAAAAGUAUUCUGUCAAAGAUUAGGGCUUAACCCUAGAUAGGCAGAAUAAACUUUUAAGCUAGAGUUUGGUAGAGGCAGAGGGAAUUCCCGGUGGAGCGGUGAAAUGCGUAGAUAUCGGGAGGAACACCAAAGGCGAAGGCACUCUGCUGGGCCAAUACUAACACUGAGAGACGAAAGCGAGGGGAGCAAAUGGGAUUAGAAACCCCAGUAGUCC